CUAAAGGUCAACGCUACUUUGGUAGAUCUUCCCGGAGUUACCAACAUUAGCGACGAAGACGACCUCACUGUUAAUAAAAAUAAUGGGGAGAUACGCAAAGAUGCCUGAAACUCUAAUGCUCCAUGUUAUCCGCGGGAUCAAGAUCAAGGUUUGGACUAAUUGUGAUAAACUUGAAAAUUUUGAUCGCGAUAACAAUUACGAGAUGAACGAGUCUACAAAA